UUCCAGGUUUGCUACAGGUCAGAGAAUUCUGUAAAGUCAGAGAAUUUGAAACUGGUCAGGAAAAAUCAGGAUUGAUAUUUCAUGGUUGGAAGUUAUACUACUCAGAACAAAAAAGAUCCGAGGUUGUCGAGAAGCGAGGUUAAAUGUAGGUGGCCGAUGUAGUGACGCAGUGUUCCAUCUACUAUCCUGGUAGUUUUUUGAACACUUUAUUCAAUAUUGAGAGCUUCGUCCGGCGACGCCAGGCCUCAACAGGAAUAUAAUACAUUAUUCCAAGGAACGUCUAACAGUGAUAUAUACGAAAUUAAAAAUUUUGAAGAUAAGAGUAUUGAAAAUUACGAAAAAGUUUGUUCCUGGUGGAAGUUUUUAUUUAAGAAAAUAUUGUUUAUUC